rnacentral:lncRNA from 10 species
CCAGAGAAAGGACAAGACUAGACUUGUUCCCAUUAUCACGAGCCCGAGGUGGGGCGAUAAAUCCGGAACAGCUCGAAUUAUACUCACAGGAAUAUGUUUACUCAUUGAAGAUUGUGGCCUAAUCAUACAGCCGGUCCCGAGGCGGCGGCAGACUCUACCAUGCAGUGAGCGGCUCGGAGCAGAGCGCGUAGCCGAGCCGGCCCGCAGCCGAAGGAGCCAAUACACGCGCCGAGGCGCCCUUGCGUCACAAGCCCUCC